CCUACGGGUGGCAGCAGUGAGGAAUAUUGGGCAAUGGAGGCAACUCUGACCCAGCCAUGCCGCGUGAGUGAAGAAGGUUUUCGGAUUGUAAAGCUCUUUCGGAUGUGACGAUGAUGACGGUAGCAUCUAAAGAAGCCCCGGCUAACUUCGUGCCAGCAGCCGCGGUAAUACGAAGGGGGCAAGCGUUGUUCGGAAUUACUGGGCGUAAAGGGAGUGUAGGCGGUUUAGUAAGAUAGUGGUGAAAUCCCAGGGCUUAACUUUGGAAUUGCCAUUAUAACUAUUAGACUAGAAUUACAGAGAGGAUAGUGGAAUACCCAGUGUAGAGGUGAAAUUCGUAGAUAUUGGGUAGAACACCAGUGGCGAAGGCGGGUUGCUAGACUGUAACUGACACUGAGGCACGAAAGCGUGGGGAGCAAACAGGAUUAGAUACCCUGGUAGUC
rnacentral:rRNA from 1 species